rnacentral:sRNA from 1 species
GCCGGGCGUUGUGGCGGGCGCCUGUGGUCCCAGCUACUUGGGAGGCGGAGGCAGGAGACUCGCUUGAGCCCAGGAGUUGGAGGUUGCUGUGAGCUGUAAUGCCACGGCACUCUGCCCAGGGGGACAGCUUGAGGCUCUGUCUCUCAAAAAAAAAAAAAAAAGACAGAGUCUCAAGCUGUCACCUUGGGUAGAGUACUGUGUUGUCACAGCUCACAGCAACCUCAAAGUCUUGGGCUUAAGCAAUUUUUUUGCC